rnacentral:pre_miRNA from 1 species
CUUGUACUCCCUCCGUUUUAAAUUACUCGUUACAGAAAUGGAUGUAUCUACAACUAAAAUAUAUCUAGAUACAUUCAUUUUUAUGACAAGUAAUUUGGAACGGAGGGAUUACUUG